GGUUAAGCGAAUAAGCGUACACGGUGGAUGCCUAGGCAGUCAGAGGCGAUGAAGGACGUGCUAAUCUGCGAUAAGCGCCGGUAAGGUGAUAUGAACCGUUAUAACCGGCGAUUUCCGAAUGGGGAAACCCAGUGCAAUUCGUUGCACUAUCAUUACCUGAAUACAUAGGGUAAUGAAGCGAACCGGGAGAACUGAAACAUCUAAGUACCCCGAGGAAAAGAAAUCAAACGAGAUUCCCCCAGUAGCGGCGAGCGAACGGGGAGCAGCCCAGGACCUUAAUCAGCAUCAGUGUUAAGAGAACAGUCUGGAAAGGCUGGCCACAGCAGGUGAUAGCCCUGUAUCUGAAAGCACUGGUGUUGUGAGUCCGAUGAGUAAGGCGGGACACGUGUUAUCCUGUCUGAAUACGGGGGGACCAUCCUCCAAGGCUAAAUACUCCUGACUGACCGAUAGUGAACCAGUACCGUGAGGGAAAGGCGAAAAGAACCCCGGCGAGGGGAGUGAAAAAGAACCUGAAACCGUGUACGUACAAGCAGUGGGAGCACCCUUCGGGGUGUGACUGCGUACCUUUUGUAUAAUGGGUCAGCGACUUAUAUUCUGUAGCAAGGUUAACCGAAUAGGGGAGCCGCAGGGAAACCGAGUCUUAACUGGGCGAAUUAGUUGCAGGGUAUAGACCCGAAACCCGGUGAUCUAGCCAUGGGCAGGUUGAAGGUUGGGUAACACUAACUGGAGGACCGAACCGACUAAUGUUGAAAAAUUAGCGGAUGACUUGUGGCUGGGGGUGAAAGGCCAAUCAAACCGGGAGAUAGCUGGUUCUCCCCGAAAGCUAUUUAGGUAGCGCCUCGUGAAUUCAUCUCCGGGGGUAGAGCACUGUUUCGGCUAGGGGGUCAUCCCGACUUACCAACCCGAUGCAAACUGCGAAUACCGGAGAAUGUUAUCACGGGAGACACACGGCGGGUGCUAACGUUCGUCGUGAAGAGGGAAACAACCCAGACCGCCGGCUAAGGUCCCAAAGUCAUAAUUAAGUGGGAAACGAAGUGGGAAGGCUCAGACAGCCAGGAUGUUGGCUUAGAAGCAGCCAUCAUUUAAAGAAAGCGUAAUAGCUCACUGGUCGAGUCGGCCUGCGCGGAAGAUGUAACGGGGCUAAAUUAUGCACCGAAGCCGCGGCAGCGAUAUGUAAAUAUUGUUGGGUAGGGGAGCGUUCUGUAAGCCUGUGAAGGUGGCCUGUGAGGGCUGCUGGAGGUAUCAGAAGUGCGAAUGCUGACAUAAGUAACGAUAAUGCGGGUGAAAAACCCGCACGCCGGAAGACCAAGGGUUCCUGUCCAACGUUAAUCGGGGCAGGGUGAGUCGACCCCUAAGGCGAGGCUGAAAAGCGUAGUCGAUGGGCAACGGGUUAAUAUUCCCGUACUGGUGGUAACUGCGAAGGGGGGACGGAGAAAGCUAAAUCAUCCGGGCGACGGUUGUCCCGGUUUAAGCGUGCAGGUGGACUGACCAGGCAAAUCCGGUCGGUUGUUAACACUGAGGCGUGACGACGAGCCACUACGGUGGUGAAGUGAUUGAUGCUCUGCUUCCGGGAAAAGCCUCUAAGCUCCAGGUUACCAUUAAUCGUACCCCAAACCGACACAGGUGGUCAGGUAGAGAAUACUCAGGCGCUUGAGAGAACUCGGGUGAAGGAACUAGGCAAAAUGGUGCCGUAACUUCGGGAGAAGGCACGCUGGCA
rnacentral:rRNA from 1 species